rnacentral:rRNA from 1 species
UACAGAGGGUGCGAGCGUUAAUCGGAAUUACUGGGCGUAAAGCGUGCGUAGACGGUAGCGUAAGUCAGAUGUGAAAGCCCCCGGGCUCAACCUGGGAACUGCAUUUGAGACUGCUCUGCUCGGGUGCGGAAGAGGGAAGCGGAAUUUCCGGUGUAGCGGUGAAAUGCGUAGAUAUCGGAAGGAACACCAGUGGCGAAAGCGGCUUCCUGGUCCGACACCGACGUUCAGGCACGAAAGCGUGGGGAGCAAACAGG